rnacentral:tRNA from 1 species
UUCAUCGGCCGGGAAUCGAACCCGGGCCGCCCGCGUGGCAGGCGAGCAUUCUACCACUGAACCGCCCGAUGG